UGGGGAAUCUUGCACAAUGGGGGAAACCCUGAUGCAGCGACGCCGCGUGAGUGAUGAAGUCCUUCGGGAUGUAAAGCUCUUUCGACAGGGACGAUUAUGACGGUACCUGGAGAAGAAGCUGCGGCUAACUACGUGCCAGCAGCCGCGGUAACACGUAGGGGGCAAGCGUUGUCCGGAUUCAUUGGGCGUAAAGAGCUCGUAGGCGGUUCGAUAAGUCGGGUGUGAAACCUCCAGGCUCAACCUGGAGACGCCACCCGAUACUGUCGUGACUAGAGUCCAGUAGGGGAGCGUGGAAUUCCUGGUGUAGCGGUGAAAUGCGCAGAUAUCAGGAGGAACACCAGCGGCGAAGGCGGCGCUCUGGGCUGGAACUGACGCUGAGGAGCGAAAGCGUGGGGAGCGAACAGGAUUAGAUACCCUUGUAGUCCCUGAGCGGGCUGGCAAGGCGCAU
rnacentral:rRNA from 1 species